GUACCGAUGAAGAGUCCCAAAAUAGGACGAAACAACUGUCCAGUAC
rnacentral:hammerhead_ribozyme from 1 species